UACGUAGGGGGCGAGCGUUGUCCGGAUUCAUUGGGCGUAAAGGGCUCGUAGGCGGCCUGUCGCGUCGGGAGUGAAAGCCCACUGCUUAACGGUGGGUCUGCUUCCGGUACGGGCGGGCUAGAGUAUGGCAGGGGAGACUGGAAUUCCUGGUGUAGCGGUGGAAUGCGCAGAUAUCAGGAGGAACACCGGUGGCGAAGGCGGGUCUCUGGGCCAUUACUGACGCUGAGGAGCGAAAGCGUGGGGAGCGAACAGG
rnacentral:rRNA from 1 species